GUCAUAACUCAUAAAUAAAUUAAAUACGAUACAAAUUAUUAGAAAUAUUUCCACAUAUGUGAUCAAUAAUUCAUACAAGUUCCAUUCACGAGUUUUCGUCCAACAUCUUAUUCUUUUGUGCAGCAUGCUUCUAAUACUGGAUGACAACUUUACAACCGACAGUAAUGUCCUUACGUGUCCAGCCCGACCCUCGAGUCCUUUCCAUUAUCGUGUGCUCUAUUGGUUCGCAUUCAAAUCCACGAUUCCCUUCUAAUCUAAUAUUUAUGUUUUUUGUGCAUUUCGCAUUAUUAUAGUAAUCUGUUUAUAAUGCCAAUGUAGUAUAGUCGCCGUCCGAUUGAGUUGUUGUUACUUUAUCCGCAUUUCCUGAUAGUUCACACAUGUCGAACUCC